AAAAAGAGCUUUAAGAACUGAUACAGAAAGGAACUCGAGGACAUCUUGAAGGACUCAGGAAUGCCGAUGGGGCCCUUGUUCCUUCAGCAGAGGCCACAAGGAUCUGAGGAUGGCCGUGAACUUCAGAUCCUCCUGCCAUCACCUCCAAAGUGCUGAGAUUACAAACUUCCUGGUCCACUGAGAUGUGAGCGAGCAGCCUCACCCUCCUACUGCCCUGAGCCAAACUGUCCUUUGCCACCUGACCUUCCUCUCAUGAUAAGCUAUCUCUCCGGAACUGUGAACCAGAAAAAAAUCUUCCCCUAAGAUGAUUCCAUCAUGCACAAGGUCACAAGAUAAGUAGCUGACACAGCACUUACAAGGGGCAUCUGCUGUGACCUAGGUAUUGUGCAUGACGCUUCUGUACAGAGCUUCGUAUACAGUGCACAUGCACUGGGUCCCCCUCCCUCGCUGGGGACCAUGGCAUACUCACACUCCAGAAGACACAAGCAGCCAGCUUAGCCUGCACAAUGCAACCACGGUCCCACAGACGUGCAGGAGAGCACACCUGGUUAGGCAGGUGUCACAGGUCUCAUUUGCCAAUGCAGGAAGAGCUUGAAACUUGGGUCCCUGGCCCCCUGAGUCAUGGCUGUGUGAAUGAACCCCAUACCUGGCUAUAAACUCAAACCUGUUUAUAUUUUC